GAUGAACGCUGGCGGCGUGCUUAACACAUGCAAGUCGAACGUGAGGGAAUAGCAAUAUUCUUGAAAGUGGCGCACGGGUGAGUAAUACGUAGGUAACCUGCCCUGGAGUGGGGGGAUAACAACUGGAAACGGUUGCUAAUACCGCAUGAGGCCGAGACACUGGGAAGUGUUUUGGCGAAAGCUCUGGUGCUUCAGGAGGGGCCUGCGGCCGAUUAGCUAGUUGGCGGGGUAAGAGCCCACCAAGGCAGUGAUCGGUAGCUGGUCUGAGAGGACGAUCAGCCACACGGGAACUGAGACACGGUCCCGACUCCGUACGGGGGGCAGCAGUGAGGAAUAUUGGGCAAUGGGCGGAAGCCUGACCCAGCAACGCCGCGUGGAGGAAGACGGCCUUCGGGUUGUAACUCCUUUACGGGUAGGAGGAAGGAGUGGUACCCGACGAA
rnacentral:rRNA from 1 species